rnacentral:pre_miRNA from 1 species
UGAUGACGAUGAUGAUGAUGAUGAUGAUGAUGAUGAUGAUGAUGAUGAUGAUACUGAAGUCUAGUAAUACGAUGAUAAUCUCAUUUAUCAUCACCAUUAUCAUCAUCGUCAUCAAAAGUA